AGUCGGCGGAGGAGGAUGAUGAUGAUGAUGAUGAUGAUGAGGAUGGGGAUGAAGAGCGCCCGGCCCGGCCGAUGUUCCUCAGGGAUUACGAGCGGAAGGUGGUGCUGGAGAAGGAAGGGAAAUUCGUGGACGAGGAGGAUGAGGAGGAUGAGGAGGCGGCGGCCAAGAGGAGGAAGGCCGAGGCCUCCCCCAGCUACGCCGAGGAGCAGCGGGCGCUGAAGGAGAGGUGAGGGGGGGUCCCGGGGGGCUUUGGGGGGCUCCGGGAUUUUGGGGAGCCCCAGGGGGUGACCCUGGACCCCCCCCACCCCCCCCGCAGCUUCAGAGCCUUCGUGGAGGAGGAAGAGGAGGAGGAGGAGGAGGAGGAAGGGGGGGGAGGGGCCCUGCUCAGACCUCGGAUCCGGAGCCGCGAGGAGAAGGUGAGGGGGGUCCCGGGGGGGGUUUGGGGGUCCCUCAGGGAGGUUUGGGGGUCCAGGAGGGGUCCUGGGGGGGAGAUUUUGGGGUCCCGGGGAGGUUUGGGGGUCCUGGGAGGGUCCUGGGGAGGUUUGGAGGUCCCGGGAGGGAGAUUUUGGGGUCCUGGGGAGGUUUGGGGGUCCUUGGGGGCGGUUUGGGGGUCCCUGGGUGGGUUUUGGGGGUCUCUGGGUGGGUUUUGGGGGUCCUUGGGUGGGUUUUUGGGUCCCUGGGUGUGUUUUGGGGGUCCCAGGGGGUCCCUGGGUGGGUUUUGGGGGUCCCUGGGUGGGUUUUGGGGGUCCCUGUGUGGGUUUUGGGGGUCCCUGGGUGGGUUUUGGGGGUCCCUGGGGAGGUUUUGGGGGGUCCCUGACUGCGUUUUGGGGUCCCCCCAGGCCCAGGAGGAGGAUCAGUACCUGCGCUGGCUGCGGGGCCAGGCCGAGCCCCCCCCGGAGCCUCUGCAGGACCUGGAGCCGCUGCAGAAGUUCUGGUCGGACCCGGGGCUGGAGCCGGGCGAGCGAUUCCUGCGGGAUUUCCUGCUGGGAUGCGGCCAGGAGGAGGAGGAGGAGGGGGAGGAAGGGUGAGAGGGACCCCCAGACCCCUCCCCAGUAUGGCUGCAGCCCCCCCAAAUCCUCUGGGCCCCCCCCAAACCUCCUGGAGCCCCCCCAAAUCCUCUGGAGCCCCCCAAACCCUCCCUGGACACCCCCUGGGAGCCGCUCCUGGAGCAGCCUCGGGAUGAGGAGUGGGGACCCCCAGGGACCCCCCCGGACCCCCAAAAGGGGACCAGGACCCCCAGGCCCCUCCAGAGCCCCCCCAAACCCCCCAGGGCCCCCCUGGAGGACUCCUCGGACGAGGGGGAGCAGUUCCUGCAGCGGCAGCAGGACUUCGAGCGCCGCCACAAUUUCCGCUUCGAGGAGCCGGGGGCGGCCCAGGUGGGGGCGGGGGAAAUUCGGGGGGUGGGGGGCGAAAAUUGGGGG
rnacentral:lncRNA from 1 species